GCGCUCCGGGACUCCCGCCCGACCGGGGGCAGUGAGCGGUCGCCUGGUCGCCGGGACGCGCAGUCGGGGUGCUUGGGGAGCCAGAUCUAGAUUCACACACGCGCUUAGCCUGAAGGCGGGGGUGCGGUGCCCCCGGGGCCACACUUGGGGGAGGCAGCAACUGUCGGCUGGUGCGGUUUCCCCGGGCAGGUUUCAGUAGCUUCUGUCCCCAGUUAGGUUGGUGAGCUUCCUCCCCGUGCAGGGUUGAUUUCAUCACUUGACUCACUUCAGAGCAGCCAGUGGUUUCCGUUUCUGUGCGCGCAGCUCUGGCAGAGGCGCCUCACGUCCAAAGGAGCGCCUCCCUCUCCCAGAGAGGAGCCUCCGGGAUUUGGCAGUCUUGUCAACUUGGGGCGCACCUCCCCUUCCUGGUUGCUACGAAGGCAAACCGAUUCCCAGAGGAGGCUGAAAGCGGUGACAAUAGUCAGCAGCCCCCUCCUUGCUUCCUGGGCUGGGCGUACUUUUACUGUGGGUUUGCUGAAAAGCUCAGCAUCUAUUCUGGAAGGAACU
rnacentral:lncRNA from 1 species